GACGAACGCUGGCGGCGUGCUUAACACAUGCAAGUCGAACGAGAUCCAAUGUGUAGCAAUACACAGGAAGAUCUAGUGGCGAACGGGUGAGGAACACGUGAGAAACGUACCCCAGACUUUGGGAUAACAGUCCGAAAGGACUGCUAAUACCAAAUAACGUCGGAAGUCCGCAUGGACAUCUGACGAAAGGGAUUCCGGUUUGGGAGCGUCUCGCGGACCUAUCAGCUAGUUGGAGGGGUAACGGCCCACCAAGGCAACGACGGGUAGCUGGUCUGAGAGGAUGGUCAGCCACACUGGGACUGAGACACGGCCCAGACUCCUACGGGAGGCAGCAGUGGGGAAUCUUGCGCAAUGGGCGAAAGCCUGACACAGCAACGCCGCGUGCGGGAAGAAGGCUUUCGGGCUGUAAACCGCUUUCAGUAGGAACGAAACUGACGGUACCUACAGAAGAAGGAGCGGCCAACUAUGUG
rnacentral:rRNA from 1 species